rnacentral:rRNA from 1 species
GACGUAGGGCGCGAGCGUUGUCCGGAUUUAUUGGGCGUAAAGAGCUCGUAGGCGGCUUGUCGCGUCGUCCGUGAAAACCUGCGGCUCAACUGCAGGCUGGCGGUCGAUACGGGCAGGCUGGAGUUCGGUAGGGGAGACUGGAAUUCCUGGUGUAGCGGUGAAAUGCGCAGAUAUCAGGAGGAACACCAACGGCGAAGGCAGCUCGCUGGGACGGUACUGACGCUGAGACGCGGAAGCGUGGGGAGCGAACAGG